CAUCUUCUUCCUUCCCCCAGAUCCACUCCUUUCUGUAUUUCCUUCCUCGACCCAAUCCCCACCUCCCCGGCCUCUCCCGGCCUUCCUUCACUCGCAAUCCUAGUGGCAACCAUCACCCCCACACACCAUUGUGUACCUUUCCGGCUAUCCCCUCCCCCUCGGAACUAUCUUCACGACGAUGGUUGAUCUGCAGCAUGUGCAGCUGAUCUGCCGAGUUUGACGGCGGCAGCAGCCCGAGUGAUGAGAUCCGCGUCUUGGGCGCGCGCAGAUCUAGCAAGGGCUCAACCCCCGAUGUUGGCCUUGUCGGAGAGGAGCGACCGUGUGGUGGCCGGUCUAGGACAAUGGCUCGCGGGAGGCCGUAGUGUACCCUAGCCGCCACUGGAUUCCGGUGUGGCUUCCGCCCCUUCUGUUGGCUUCCUCGACAUCAUGGCUGCUUCAACCACAUGUCAGGUUCAUUUGCCUAAGCUGGUACCCAUAACAGCCGUUCGUGGGCAAGGUGCGAAGCCUAAGGCUGGGUACCCAGUAGAGACAAAAGGCACAUGUUCGUCAACCGGCUACACUGUGCUAUGUCUAGGUGGUGCUAUACAAGCCGUGCGGCUGCAUGGCGCACAAUAGGGGGCUGUUUGGUUGGGAGCCCCAGUCUGCCACGCCAAAUAAUUGGCGUUGACAAAGGGCUCAGGCGUCGCUUGGAUCGUAGCCCAGGUUUUGUCUCGCCAAUGCAACCCUCGCUUCAUCAGUUCAUUUUUGCGCCAACGAUUGGCUGAGAUGCGGGUAGCGAAAAGCUGCGCCAAUAUUUUGGCUCGCCUGUGCGUUGGCACGGUUAGCCUGGGCAAAAAAAACAGCCCCUAGAAGCUCGAGAGGGCGGCCGUGAUAACUGUGGUGGAGCUACUCCGUGAUCAAACCAGGGGUACGAUUUGGUAGCGGGCUUGGUGAUGGCCAUCACAAUCUGCUAUGACAUGAUACUUACCAUCAGGAGGGCCGAUGACAAGACCUGAAUAACAACCUCAAUAGUAUCAUAUGUUCUGUUGUUGUAAAUUGGAUUGUACUAGUUCCUAACCUUGUUGUGUGAUAUAUUUUGUCAAUAUAUUAUGUAAAUUAUCAUUUCAUGGAGGAUUU